AGCUUUGCGCAGUGGCAGUAUCAUAGCCAAUGAGGUUUAUCCGAGGUGCGAUUAUUGCUACUUGUUUUCUAUAAUCUAAUCUUUCUCAUAAGCACUUGCCCUGCUGGGUGCAAAAGGGAGAUUUAGAUUUGCCAGUAAA